rnacentral:rRNA from 1 species
GUCCCAGUUCGGACUGGAGCUGCAACCCGGCUCCACGAAGUUGGAUUCGCUAGUAAUCGCGCAUCAGCCAUGGCGCGGUGAAUACGUUCCCGGGCCUUGUACACACCGCCCGUCAAGCCAUGGGAGCCGGGGGCGCCUGAAGUCCGGGACCGCGAGGACCGGCCUAGGGCGAAACUGGUAACUGGGCUAAGUCGUAACAAGGUAGC